rnacentral:rRNA from 1 species
UUCCUACGGGGGGCAGCAGUGGGGAAUAUUGCACAAUGGGGGGAACCCUGAUGCAGCGACGCCGCGUGAGUGAAGAAGUAUUUCGGUAUGUAAAGCUCUAUCCGCAGGGAAGAAGAUGACGGUACCUGACUAAGAAGCCCCGGCUAACUACGUGCCAGCAGCCGCGGUAAUACGUAGGGGGCAAGCGUUAUCCGGAUUUACUGGGUGUAAAGGGAGCGUAGACGGCAGCGCAAGUCUGGAGUGGAAUGCCGGGGCCCAACCCCGGAACUGCUUUGGAAACUGUGCAGCUCGAGUGCAGGAGAGGU